CAAAUACUCCCUUUGUCCCAAAAAAUUUGCCUUAGAUUUGUCUAAAUACGGAUGUAUCAAAUCACAUUUUAGUAUUAGGUACAUCCGUAUCUAGACAAAUCUAAAACAAGAAUUUUAGGACGGAGGGAGUAUAAA
rfam:Triticum urartu cultivar G1812 contig701901, whole genome shotgun sequence.